GCGCCCGUAGCUCAGCCGGAUAGAGCAACGGCCUUCUAAGCCGUGGGUCGCAGGUUCGACUCCUGCCGGGCGCGCCA
rnacentral:tRNA from 1 species